GCUUAUGGUUCAGCGGUAGAAUGCUUGCUUAGCACAUGCAAGGAGCUGGGUUCAAUCCUCAGCAAAAGAA
rnacentral:tRNA from 1 species